GAGGGUAUAGCUCAGUGGUAGAGUGUCUGCUUAGCAUACACCCGGUCCUAAGUUCAAUCCCCAGUACCUCCA
rnacentral:tRNA from 1 species